UAAUUGAAGAGUUUGAUCAUGGCUCAGAUUGAACGCUGGCGGCAGGCCUAACACAUGCAAGUCGAGCGGUAACAGGAGAAGCUUGCUUC
rnacentral:rRNA from 1 species